rnacentral:misc_RNA from 1 species
ACGGCAUGAUUGAUCCGCAUGAUCGAUCCGCGGUAUCGAUCCGUGAUCGAUACCGUGUGAUCGAUACCUCACGUUGCUAUCACUUCGUUCAAAGACUCGAAACUUCUGGUCUCUUCGUCUGCAGUUUGUCGAUCUCAAACUCCUCGACCUCCUCCGGCGAUCUAUUCUCGGAGAUACAGGAGCAUGCUCCGGGGUGAACCGUACCUCAUACUUGUUUGCCAAGCUUGAGAUGAAUUCAUUAGCGACGCUUGCUGUGAAAUUGGCUAGAGUAAGCCCGCCCGGCCCUGCCCGUCCGAGCGAAUAGAAAAUCUCUGCUCCAUUUUGGGGGCAAAGACGCGGUUAUGCAGUUAGGGGUGGUUCACAGCGGAGGCAAGGAUCCAGGGAGGCAGAGAUGAUACAUGUAUGUGCGAAGCUUGACGGGGUCGUACUCGCACUUGAGGCAACAACGCUACAAGUAGGACCCUGCGACUGUAAGGGUCCUCUGUGGGGAAUUUGAGUAAUCGUACGACUUCUCCACACAUGCCAGAAACGUCUGUACAGUAUGUCACUGACCCUGCGUGAACUCGAGACUCUGUUUUCUGUUUUCCCCCUUCUUUGCUUCCUGCAAAAAGCGUGAGAAAAGGGGGGCGAGACGCUGGAUGUCCAGGCUUGUACUGGUUUCCGCGCCCUCGUAUUCCGCAGCUAUGUCGGAAGCUGCUAUCUGUGGCUCUCUUGUCAAAAAGGGAAAAAAUGAACAGUUUUCGUGCAUGAAAAUUAAACCUACCAGUGGUCCGCGUCUGAAUACGUGACGAUAAAGUGUCAGAAGAAGACCAGCCGAGGUUGGAAGGGUUAGUCGGGGUGCAGGUUUCAGAGGACAUAGCUUGUUGGGUUCAAGACAUGUCAAAGGUCGGAGGGUCAAAGGUCGGAGGCCGGAGGGUCAGAGGUCGGAGGUCAGAGGUCGGAGGUCAGAGGUCGGAGGUCGGAGUGUUGGAGAUGUGCCUGAUGAAGGUUUUGCGUAUAGCAGACUAAACGCCGUCUGUGGCGGUUCCAACGUAUCGGGGAGUGUUGGAUGUUUGAUCAAAUGGGUGAAGAACUCCGUCGGAUUGUUGUUUGUGUUAUUUCGAGCAUUUUGGCUGGUUAUUAUGGACGCAUUCUCCUUAACGCACAGGCCGCUUUCUACAUAUGCAGACCCCAAUUAAGGUGAUACAGCAUGGUGGAGAU